UGUGAUCUUCGUUCCGAACGAAGGCAGAAUGACAAAGACGGAAUAUAUUUUCAUGUCUCGCUGUUUUUAUUUCUGGGUCUGGGCAAGAAUUAGGGUCAGUAUUCAUAAACAGCGACACGUGGGAAGUCACGUUGAGCAACCACCAGUGACGUCCAACUCAGUAUGCGCAAGAUAAUGUGCAGACGGCAAAAAUUGGCAAGUACGCCUUCGUCUUCGUACUUCGUUGUCUUGCUCCAACUCUCUAUUGACAAUUUUCCGACGGGUCUCAAUUUUCCGACGGGUCUC